CAGGAAACUACAGCACAGGCAGUGACAGUGUGAGCUUUCUCCACACCACCCCUUUCAUGUGUCUCAACCCUGACCUGGAGGGACCACCUCUAGA
rnacentral:sRNA from 1 species